UACGGAGGGGGCUAGCGUUGUUCGGAGUUACUGGGCGUAAAGCGCACGUAGGCGGAUUGGAAAGUCAGAGGUGAAAUCCCAGGGCUCAACCUUGGAACUGCCUUUGAAAACUCCCAGUCUUGAGUUCGAGAGAGGUGAGUGGAACUCCGAGUGUAGAGGUGAAAUUCGUAGAUAUUCGGAGGAACACCAGUGGCGAAGGCGGCUCACCGGCUCGAUACUGACGCUGAGGUGCGAAAGCGUGGGGAGCAAACAGG
rnacentral:rRNA from 1 species